UACAGGGGGGGCAAGCGUUGUUCGGAAUUACUGGGCGUAAAGGGUCUGUAGGUGGCCAACUAAGUCAGACGUGAAAUCCCUCAGCUUAACUGGGGAACUGCGUCUGAUACUGGAUGGCUUGAGUGUGGGAGAGGAAUGCGGAAUUCCAGGUGUAGCGGUGAAAUGCGUAGAUAUCCGAAGGAACGCCGGUGGCGAAAGCGGCGUGCUGGACCCUUUCUGAUGCUGAGGCGCGAAAGCCAGGGGAGCAAACGGG
rnacentral:rRNA from 1 species